rnacentral:rRNA from 1 species
UACGGAGGGUGCAAGCGUUAUCCGGAUUUAUUGGGUUUAAAGGGUCCGUAGGCGGUCCUGUAAGUCAGUGGUGAAAUCUCAUAGCUUAACUAUGAAACUGCCAUUGAUACUGCAGGUCUUGAGUAAAUUAGAGGUAGCUGGAAUAAGUAGUGUAGCGGUGAAAUGCAUAGAUAUUACAUAGAACACCAAUAGCGAAGGCAGGUUACCAGGAUUUAACUGACGCUGAGGGACGAAAGCGUGGGGAGCGAACAGG